rnacentral:rRNA from 1 species
GAGAGAGUUCAAGAGUACGUGAAACCGUUUAGAGGUAAACGGGUGGAGCCGCAUGGCGUCCUCGGGGAGAUUCAACCGAUCGCUCGUCGGCACGGUGGCUGUCGCGGAUCCGUCGGACCGCUCACCUCCGUGGCCUACGUCGUCCGGCGCAUUUUCCCCGGGGCAGUGUCGCGACCGGUCUCGUGGCGCUCACAAGCCGCUGUGGAAGGUGACUCUCGUCUUCGGGCGGGAGAGUUAUAGCCAGGCGCGCGCGUCGCCUGCUACGAGACCGAGGAACCGCCGCUCGUUUGCCACCCUCGUUCUUCGUCACGAGUUCGACCUCCGCGGACUGGUUCCGGUGCGCGGUAACCGCUUGUGGCGCUAGGCGUGGAGUGGCGUUCGGGUGUUCACGGUCAGCGACCGUUGGGUCGGCAUUCCACCCGACCCGUCUUGAAACACGGACCAAGGAGUCUAACAUGUGCGCGAGUCAGUGGGUCUUACGAAACCCCAAGGCGCAAUGAAGGUGAAGGCCUCCUCGUGGGGCACUAGGUGGGAUGCUGUCCGGCGUCGGGCAGCCGCACCACCGGCCCG